rnacentral:tRNA from 1 species
GGGGUUGUGGCUCAGUGGUAGAGUGCUCAUUUAGCAUGUGCGAGGCCCUGGGUUUGAUCCUCAGCACCACA